rnacentral:rRNA from 1 species
AUUGAACGCUGGCGGCAUGCCUUACACAUGCAAGUCGAACGGCAGCACGGGUGCUUGCACCUGGUGGCGAGUGGCGAACGGGUGAGUAAUACAUCGGAACAUGUCCUGUAGUGGGGGAUAGCCCGGCGAAAGCCGGAUUAAUACCGCAUACGAUCCACGGAUGAAAGCGGGGGACCUUCGGGCCUCGCGCUAUAGGGUUGGCCGAUGGCUGAUUAGCUAGUUGGUGGGGUAAAGGCCUACCAAGGCGACGAUCAGUAGCUGGUCUGAGAGGACGACCAGCCACACUGGGACUGAGACACGGCCCAGACUCCUACGGGAGGCAGCAGUGGGGAAUUUUGGACAAUGGGCGAAAGCCUGAUCCAGCAAUGCCGCGUGUGUGAAGAAGGCCUUCGGGUUGUAAAGCACUUUUGUCCGGUAAGAAAUCCUUGGCUCUAAUACAGUCGGGGGAUGACGGUACCGGAAGAAUAAGCACCGGCUAACUACGUG